rnacentral:tRNA from 1 species
GGUGGAGUGUCCGAGCGGCCGAAGGUGCAGCACUCGAAAUGCUGUGUGGUUCAUAGCCACCGUGGGUUCAAAUCCCACCUCCACCGCCA